UAUAUGUCAGUUUGCGUUUGCUCUGAGGAGGGCUCAGGAAUGAGCCGAAACAUGUA
rnacentral:hammerhead_ribozyme from 15 species